rnacentral:rRNA from 1 species
GUGUCGGAAAGAAAUAAUUAGAAAAUAUUAGUUAUUUUAUAAAAUGUUUCUUAUCUGAGUUUUUCGAGGAUAAGCUCGAAAAAAUUUUAAGGUAUUUAAUAAUUAAAAUUAUCAUGUGGGCUUAAAAUUAGCCAUCAUAAGAGUUUGUUAUAAAACAGUGUAUUUUAAUAAUUAAAAUGAAUAUAUUUUACACUAAAUUUUCCUAUCGAAAUAAAGAUAUUAAUUAUAAGAUAUUUAACACCUAUGCUAGGAUGAGUAUUAAAAAACAUAAUUACUGAGAAAUUUUAUAAAUGUUUUCUUCUUAAAAAUAUUUCUAUUAAUUAAAUUAGUUAGAAGGAACUCGGCAAAAUAAAUUGCUCUGCCUGUUUAUCAAAAACAUGGCUCUUUGUGUUAAUUUAAAUAAAGAGUCAGACCUGCCCAGUGAUAAUAUUCAACGGCCGCGGUACUCUAACCGUGCAAAGGUAGCAUAAUCAUUUGCCUUAUAAUUGAAGGCUAGUAUGAAUGGUUUAACGAGAGUAAUACUGUCUCCUUACUAUUCUUUAGAAAUUAACCUUUAGGUGAAGAGGCCUAAAUGCAAUUGAAGGACAAGAAGACCCUGUCGAGCUUAAAAGACAUUAGAGAGGUUGUGUAUACUUAUAAAUAAAUAUCUCUUAAGCUUUUUAGUUGGGGCGACUAAGGAACAAAAAAAGCUUCUUAUAGAAAAAAGACCGUCAAGUUUUGAUCCGGUAUUAUCCGACUUAAGAAAUUAGUUACCGCAGGGAUAACAGCAUAAUCUCUCUUGAGAGAUCUAAUCGAAAGAGGGGCUUGUGACCUCGAUGUUGGACUAGAGUAUCCUAAAGAUGCAGAAGUCUUUAAAGG